GAGGCGUGACGACGAGGCACUACGGUGCUGAAGCAACAAAUGCCCUGCUUCCAGGAAAAGCCUCUAAGCAUCAGGUAACAUCAAAUCGUACCCCAAACCGACACAGGUGGUCAGGUAGAGAAUACCAAGGCGCUUGAGAGAACUCGGGUGAAGGAACUAGGCAAAAUGGUGCCGUAACUUCGGGAGAAGGCACGCUGACACGUAGGUGAAGUGAUUUACUCAUGGAGCUGAAGUCAGUCGAAGAUACCAGCUGGCUGCAACUGUUUAUUAAAAACACAGCACUGUGCAAACACGAAAGUGGACGUAUACGGUGUGACGCCUGCCCGGUGCCGGAAGGUUAAUUGAUGGGGUCAGCGCAAGCGAAGCUCCUGAUCGAAGCCCCGGUAAACGGCGGCCGUAACUAUAACGGUCCUAAGGUAGCGAAAUUCCUUGUCGGGUAAGUUCCGACCUGCACGAAUGGCGUAAUGAUGGCCAGGCUGUCUCCACCCGAGACUCAGUGAAAUUGAACUCGCUGUGAAGAUGCAGUGUACCCGCGGCAAGACGGAAAGACCCCGUGAACCUUUACUAUAGCUUGACACUGAACAUUGAGCCUUGAUGUGUAGGAUAGGUGGGAGGCUUUGAAGUGUGGACGCCAGUCUGCAUGGAGCCGACCUUGAAAUACCACCCUUUAAUGUUUGAUGUUCUAACGUGGACCCGUUACCCGGGUUGCGGACAGUGUCUGGUGGGUAGUUUGACUGGGGCGGUCUCCUCCUAAAGAGUAACGGAGGAGCACGAAGGUUGGCUAAUCCUGGUCGGACAUCAGGAGGUUAGUGCAAUGGCAUAAGCCAGCUUGACUGCGAGCGUGACGGCGCGAGCAGGUGCGAAAGCAGGUCAUAGUGAUCCGGUGGUUCUGAAUGGAAGGGCCAUCGCUCAACGGAUAAAAGGUACUCCGGGGAUAACAGGCUGAUACCGCCCAAGAGUUCAUAUCGACGGCGGUGUUUGGCACCUCGAUGUCGGCUCAUCACAUCCUGGGGCUGAAGUAGGUCCCAAGGGUAUGGCUGUUCGCCAUUUAAAGUGGUACGCGAGCUGGGUUUAGAACGUCGUGAGACAGUUCGGUCCCUAUCUGCCGUGGGCGCUGGAGAACUGAGGGGGGCUGCUCCUAGUACGAGAGGACCGGAGUGGACGCAUCACUGGUGUUCGGGUUGUCAUGCCAAUGGCACUGCCCGGUAGCUAAAUGCGGAAGAGAUAAGUGCUGAAAGCAUCUAAGCACGAAACUUGCCCCGAGAUGAGUUCUCCCUGAGACUUAGAGUCUCCUGAAGGAACGUUGAAGACGACGACGUUGAUAGGCCGGGUGUGUAAGCGCAGCGAUGCGUUGAGCUAACCGGUACUAAUGAACCGUGAGGCUUAACCUUACAACGCCG
rnacentral:rRNA from 1 species